rnacentral:rRNA from 1 species
AUCCUGGCUCAGGAUAAACGCUGGCGGCGCACAUAAGACAUGCAAGUCGAACGGACUUAACCAUUAGUUUACUAUUGGGGCGGUUAGUGGCGGACUGGUGAGUAACACGUAAGCAACCUGCCUGUUAGAGGGGAACAACAGUUAGAAAUGACUGCUAAUACCGCAUAUGCCUUAGUUAUCGCAUGAUAAUAGAGGGAAAGGAGCAAUCCGCUAACAGAUGGGCUUGCGUCUGAUUAGAUAGUUGGUGUGGUAACGGCAUACCAAGUCGACGAUCAGUAGCCGGACUGAGAGGUUGAACGGCCACAUUGGGACUGAGAUACGGCCCAGACUCCUACGGGAGGCAGCAGUCGGGAAUAUUGCGCAAUGGAGGAAACUCUGACGCAGUGACGCCGCGUGUAGGAAGAAGGUCUUCGGAUUGUAAACUUCUGUCCUCAGGGAAGAUAAUGACGGUACCUGAGGAGGAAGCUCCGGCUAACUACGUGCCAGCAGCCGCGGUAA